GUUCGUCAUUGUGAUUUGGCACAACGCCUUCGUAGGGAAUCAAGCUCUUUUCCUCCGAUCCCGCCGCUACCGCUCCUCCAUGGCUCAAUCCCUCCUCUUCGUCUGAUGGAGGCGACCGACUUUGCUCCGUCUCGAGCUGCUCGUUCUCUCUAUUGUUUGUUGCUUGCAGAUUCCUUUCAUCUUGUGCUUUAUUCUCAUAUGUGUUUCCCAUCUCGCAGAUCAUGGGGAAGUGAGUGGGCGGAUCAUCCUUGUUUGCUAACCCUGCGCGUGGUAAUCCUCUUCGUUUCAUCGAAACUCGUCUUCGUCCGGCAUUCGGUUGCGGUUCUUGUCGCCUUAUUCAGGCAUCCUGCUCGUUGGUGAUUGGGUUCUCAGGUUAGCUCGUGUUUCUCAUCCAGACAGCAGGUCGGCUUCCUCUCGCCGCUCUGAACUGCAGGACUCGCUGGAUGGAUGUGAAUGUGAGCAACCAAGCUAUCAGAUAGGUUAGAUUUUUGUGGCAUAUCACUAUGAGGAAGCCGGCAACCUGGAUUGUCAAUUAUCUCCGCAGGGUGCCCCAUUUUUCGAUGUCAUGAUUAUCUGCGUUCGAGAACCGGUGGAUCAUUUUGUAACUUAUGCAGGUUAUGUGCACAUUGAGAGUUUCUUCUGCUCGAGGCAGCCGUCGUCCACAUGCUCCUCCUAAAGUUCCUCCUUGUCACCAUGGGUGGAUGCCGGUGAGGCCAGCCUUCCCGGACUGCUAUCUUCUCAUGCUGCUGCAGCAACUUCAUAAAUUGUGACUUGAGACACCGCCCUGCAGAUUACCAUCAGUACUUACAAGAAAAUGAGGUGAAAGCGAGUACAGUUGAAAGCUACCCUAUGAAUAAUGGAAAAUGCACCAGCAGUGCUUGGUUUGAGGAGCUUCGCAAGCAGAGAGUUGCUCAAUUGAAAAGGGAGGCGGCUCGGCGCCGCCGACUCCCCACCGGCCAUCGAGCAUGGGCACCGUCAUGAUACUUCUGUUAUGCGGCUAUUCUCUGGGGGCAUGGUAUAUGGCCAAGCUGAUUAUAGAGAAGGGAUACACGGGUGCCCAGGUCAUGAAUGUCAUCUUUGCAGUGCUUACCCACUCUGUAAGUUAGUGACCUCCAUGCCUAUCUGUAGUGUCAUAUUUUUAAAAGAGAAGGGAUACACCGGAGACGAGCUGAUUAUAGAGAAUGUGAUUUAAAAGAACCAUGCCAGAGGUUUUCUAGGGGCUGCUAUUUUUUGUUGCUAUCGGUAGUGUUAUAUUUUUAACCACUGUCGUUUGUCUGUGCUGUUACAACGUUGCAGUAUGAUUAGUGCAUACAAUAACGCUUAAGAGGAGCACCCUCGCCAUGUCCAAUAGCUAUAUUUACCUGUGGCCAAAUCACUUUUGCUGUAUAUAAUCAAGGAUCAACCUAGAUCUAAGGAUGUGUGUAAGCUAGAUAAGUGCGCACAUCACCGCUCAGGAGGCGUGCCAAUGGCACGCCCCAAACACUAGUACAGAGUACUUUGUGAUGUUUUGUGAGUUAUAU